UACGUAGGGUGCGAGCGUUGUCCGGAAUUAUUGGGCGUAAAGAGCUCGUAGGCGGUUCGUCGCGUCGAAUGUGAAAACCCGGGGCUCAACUCCGGGCCUGCAUUCGAUACGGGCGGACUAGAGUUCGGUAGGGGAGACUGGAAUUUACGGUGUAGCAGUGAAAUGCGUAGAUAUCGUAAGGAAGGCCGGUGGCGAAAGCGAGCCUCUGGACAGUUACUGACGCUGAUGCACGAAGGCCAGGGGAGCAAACGGG
rnacentral:rRNA from 1 species